UUCGCCCUUUUCSGGUUGAUCUUSCGGGCCCCACUGCUAUGGGAAUAGGACUAAGACAUSCUAGUCGAGUGAUUCAGGCAAACCGAGUCACGGCACACAGCUAAGUAACACGUGGCUAAUCUCCCCUUAGGACGAGAACAACCCCGGGAAAACUGGGGCUAACUCUCGAUAGGCGAAGAACUCUGAAAUGAGUCUUUACCUAAAUAGUGCAACGUUACCCUCGUUGCAUCGCCUAAGGAUGAGCCCGCGACCGAUCAGGUUGUUGGCGAGGUAAUGGCUCACCAAGCCUUUUACCGGUGCGGCCCGUGAGAGCGGGAGCCCGGAGAUGGGCACUGAGACAAGGGCCCCAGGCCCUACGGGGCGCAGCAGUCGCGAAAACUUUGCAAUAAGCGAAAGCUUGACAGGGCUAUCCCGAGUGCCAUCCGCUGAGGAAGGCUUUUACCCAGUCUAGAACGCUGGGGGAAUAAGGAGAGGGCAAGUCUGGUGUCAGCCGCCGCGGUAAUACCAGCUCUCCGAGUGGUGUGGAUGUUUAUUGGGCCUAAAGCAUCCGUAGCUGGCUAGGUCAGUCCCUUGUUAAAUCCACCGAAUUAAUCGUUGGAUUGCGGGGGAUACUGCUUGGCUAGGGGACGAGAGAGGCAGACGGUAUUUUCGGGGUAGGGGUGAAAUCCUAUAAUCCCGGGAAGACCACCAGUGGCGAAGGCUGUCUGCUAGAACGCGCCCGACGGUGAGGGAUGAAAGCUGGGGGAGCGAACCGGAUUAGAUACCCGGGUAGUCCCAGCUGUAAACGAUGCAGACUAGGUGUUUGGACGGCCACGUGCCGUUCUAGUGCCGCAGGGAAGCUGUUAAGCCUGCCGCCUGGGGAGUACGAUCGCAAGAUUGAAACUUAAAGGAAUUGGCGGGGGAGCACCACAAGGGGUGAAGCCUGCGGUUCAAUUGGAGUCAACGCCGG
rnacentral:rRNA from 1 species